UUUGAGGGAAUAAACCUGUGACCAACAGUUAGUUAACCGAUGAGAUUACUAUGUUAAAGAUGGUGUCAUUCCAUGCGAAUACUUCUCUGCGGGAAUGAGUAGGCCCCCAACAGUGCUAGCAUCACAGAAAUAAAACACAGAAAAUGCACAAGUGCAUUGUGUGGCUGGCAUUCAUUCUAAGUGGCUCACACUACAUCCAAAAUGAAUUUUAAACGCACAAUACACAUUAUGUGUACUUUUUUGUGUCCUAUUUCUAUGCACUUCGCAUUAUUGCUAAGCCCCCCCCUCCCCCCCAAUAAACGCACCUCUCCUGGAGCAGAAAAGUAAACUGUUGUACUGGAUGGGAGCCCCGGAAGAACCAAGCUGUGCACACGGACUCCAUCUUCUCCCAGAACUUGACCCCUUGCCUUGGAUGACAACAAAAAGAAUCUGACCGAGGUUGGAGAGGUUGUUGGCAAUUUGUAUUGCAUCCUGUGAUGGAAAAUCCUGUCCACCAACAAUUCCAGUGCCAUAAAUACUUGUAUGCAAGCCAAGAGCAAGUGGGGAGGGUACCAGUGACAACAGAGCUGGCAGCAUCUGUUCCGAACACAUUGGACACUGACCAGCCAGAUCUUAAAAAGAAAAAUUGCUGACCAGUUUGUGUUGAAGAAAAAAAAAUGUAAUUUUGUUGCUACUUUUAUUGUGUCAAAACAUUUGUAUGUCUAUACAUAUUAUGCAUAUUAAGUUUGGUACGAACAUAAGUUUUGUUGUGCUUUGUGAUUUUCCAAAAUUGUCCCUCAAAACAAAUCAAGAUCAAUGUAAAUUUUGAUCAGAAAAUAAA